rnacentral:tRNA from 1 species
GCCCGCCUAGCUCAAUCGGAUAGAGCGUCAGACUCUUACUCAGGCAGGGUGUAUCUGAAGGCUGCGAGUUCGACCCUCGCGGUGGGCU